rnacentral:rRNA from 1 species
AUUGAACGCUGGCGGCAUGCCUUACACAUGCGAGUCGAACGGUAACAGGUCUUCGGAUGCUGACGAGUGGCGAACGGGUGAGUAAUACAUCGGAACGUGCCUAGUAGUGGGGGAUAACUACUCGAAAGAGUGGCUAAUACCGCAUGAGAUCUACGGAUGAAAGCAGGGGAUCGCAAGACCUUGUGCUACUAGAGCGGCCGAUGGCAGAUUAGGUAGUUGGUGGGAUAAAAGCUUACCAAGCCGACGAUCUGUAGCUGGUCUGAGAGGACGAUCGGCCACACUGGGACUGAGACACGGCCCAGACUCCUACGGGAGGCAGCAGUGGGGAAUUUUGGACAAGGGGCGCAAGCCUGAUCCAGCAAUGCCGCGUGCAGGAUGAAGGCCUUCGGGUUGUAAACUGCUUUUGUACGGAACGAAAAGCCCUGGGUUAAUACCCUGGGGUCAUGACGGUACCGUAAGAAUAAGCACCGGCUAACUACGUGCCAGCAGCCGCAGUAACAC